rnacentral:misc_RNA from 1 species
UGGAGUGAAAGAAGCAAUAAAAAGUAUUGUUAACCAUUUCUCGAAUUUCGCCAGUUUACCUUCCGCCAGGCGACUAUUCAAAAAUGGUUUUAGUUUCGGAUAAUAAUCUGCUCUGCUACUCAAUUGCUAUUUAAUAAAAAUUUAGCUAAAAGACAAUAACGGCUAUUAAACUUUUUUGUUAUCAUUUCUAUACAAACUAACUAGAAUUACUUCUUUGUUAGACAAAGUUUUAUCAGAAAAAAAUAUGCGGACGCAAUCACCAAAGAAUGAAAUAGCGAUGUCCAGAAAAAAUGAAACCUUAAAGAAAAACUCAAGGAAAAAAAAAUUCAAAAUCAUAAUAGAAGAAAAUUUGGAUGUAGAAAGCCAUCUCUGUAGACUGUGUCUUAACUCAGCUGAAAAGAGUUUAUACAGCAAUAACUUUACUUUUGAUAUCAUGUACUAUAUUAAAUUUGUUCUAGGAAUAGAGGUAGCACAGAAUGAUGGGAGGCCUGAUCACAUUUGUAGCAACUGUGAGAAGAUUUUCCAUGACAUGGAAGAAUUGAAAAAGACAGCCAAAGCCACACAUAGGGUAUUGGAACUUGAAAUGAUGUCAAAUGCAUUAUCACAGCAAAAAGGUAAUGGUGAUUUACAAUCAAUUGAAAUUGAACGCAAUGAGAAUCUUAAUUCAGCUCCUACAUUAUUGUGGACUUGUAAAAGGUGUGCAAGGAACUUUGAAAAUGAGAAUGAUCUAGCUGUACACAAGAAAGAUGAAAGUUGUUCGAAAGACAAGAAAUAUGUUUGCGAAAUAUGUGGUGUCGAAAUGAAGUCGAUGGCCAGACUAAACAGACACAGGUCAAUACACAGUGACGUGCUACAACACGCAUGCGCGUCGUGUUCGUAUCGGGGCCGCACGCUGUACGCGCUGCGCACGCACGAGCGCACGCACACGCGCGCCCGCCCGCACGCGUGCCCGCGGUGCGCACGCACCUUCCGCAGCGCUGCCAACCUCGCCUCCCAUCGACGGAGGCAUCAGCCGCCGCGCUACCACUGUCCUACGUGUACGAAGCCCUUCAGGUUCAAGGAGGUUGGUCCUCAUCGUCGGGCUUGAGCCCCGUGAGCUCACCUACUAUAUCUAGUCUACAGAAUCACUUGGCAGCCCUACACAGUACAGCUAAACCUCAUGUCUGCAACACAUGCGGAAAGGCCUUUGCUACCCGAAAGCUACUCUGUCGCCAUGAAAGAAGAGUUCAC